rnacentral:lncRNA from 1 species
GAGUGACCAAAACUCUCCCCAAAUUCGGAUAAGCUAUAUAUGCCACAGCAAAAGAUAUCCUAUGAGAGUUGUUUGGAUAGAAAGGAAGCAACAAGUCUCCUGACAUCUUGGCGGCACCAACAGACUGAUAGUCUUCUCUGUCUGCCCUUCAUUCCAUUGUGUCUCCCCUAUGUCACUCAUAUAGACUAGAAUGAAGUGGCUUUAAGAUUUUAAUUUUUCAUCCCCCUACUGAUUUAUCUUCAGCAUUGAUCCACUUGCUAUUUGUCAUUUUUCUCCCAGAGGUAGAUAUGCCUGAUCAUGAGCCCCCCAGCCUGACCAGCUUUCACCACCAGCCUCACACAGCUCACGUGGUACCCCAUACCUUUCAGAAGUAUCUUCUGAUCCAUCUGCCCCUCCGAAAGAUGUCCCAGCAAGGCGAAGCUGGUGCAGUGCUGCGGCACCCCCUCAGGUUGGUAGCCCAGCUCCACCUGCCCCUUCUCCAGGGCGUACCUCCCAUUCCACAAUGGAGCCCGUCAUCACUUGCACCCUGCUCAGGUUUGCUGGAUGGUUCAGAAUCACUGUCAGGUGGUUUCCUAUACUAAUGUUGUGUGUCCAAAAGAAUGACUCAUCCAGAGUGUAGGCCUCCCAGGGGAAAUGCACAUCGGAAACCUGCAUAUCAGUGAAGACAGCUCCAGGCGGGUUGUUGGGACCAUCGGCAUUCUUUUUCUGAAGUGCUGUGGCCUUCUGCUUGUGAUCAAAGGCAGUGUAGGAGACCCUGCAGUAGAAUAGGAAAGGUCUGCAGAGGAUUGGGCUUUCCUGGACCAGGAGCGUAUGGAAAUGAGAAAUCAGGCUGUCAAGGGGUUUCUCCUUGUAGAAGAGAAGGAGGAAAUGGGCCAGGAGUGGGAGGUCCCUGCUGUGGAAGAGUUUGCCAAGGAAGCCCAUAUUGGAGAACUCCAUUAGCACCCACGAGUUGGACUUCAUGGUGGUCACCCUUGAAUGAAUGUGGGUGACAAAGUUGGGGGCAAAAAAGACAUUGUCCUCUAUUAACAGGAAGUAAUCAGAGAACUUUGUGGCAAAGCUCAUGAGGAAGGCAUGAUCUACGUUCUGCUUGGAGUAGAAUUCGCCAUGAAAGGCCUCAUCCCUGAUGCUCUCCACAGUGGGGUAGGCAUCGGAUGAAGCAUGGAUCAGUAGCAACUGCCCUUUCAAGAUCUGUGGGCUGAAGAGGCUUGAAAUAUGGGCAAGAGUUUCUCUGAGCCAGGUGAGGUCAGAAUCUGCCAGGUGGACCAGCACCGUGAGACGUUUCUGCUCAGCCUUAGAAGAAACACGGAACAGGGAGACCAAUGUGUACAAGAGGCUGCUUCCAUCCCCUUGCUGCACUGAUGAGAUUCCCCACUGUCAGCCAUGCUGAGGAGAGGUAAAAAUAGGGACAACUGUCAGUGCACAGUAAUAGUGACGGUUGUCAGAAGGGUUAGGGGUUGGGAUCCUAUGUGGGACCUUCACUCUUCCUUCCUCCCUCUUAUUUCCCACCUGUUUUUCCCUUGGUGGAGGGGAUGUUUACAUCCUUGCUGCUCGAAGUGUGGUCCUUAGUCCAGCAACAUCAGGCUGCUCUGUAAGCUCAUUUCAAAUACAGGAUCUCGAUCCCUAUCUCAGAUUUAAUCAGAAGCUGCAUUUUCACAGUAUCACCAGGUAACUUGUAUGCACAGUAAAGUUUGAGAAGUACUAAGCUAGGUGAUGCUGAGUGUCUGUGGGUUCUGCUCAGUCUUCUUUGAGCCUAGAACUUUGUG